rnacentral:rRNA from 1 species
UCGGAACGUGUCCUGUUGUGGGGGAGUAACUGAUCGAAAGAUCAGCUAAUACCGCAUGAGGCCUGAGGGUGAAAGCGGGGGAUCGCAAGACCUCGCGCGACAGGAGCGGCCGAUGUCUGAUUAGCUAGUUGGUGAGAUAAAAGCUUACCAAGGCGACGAUCAGUAGCUGGUCUGAGAGGAUGAUCAGCCACAUUGGGACUGAGACACGGCCAGACUCCUACGGGAGGCGCAUG